rnacentral:lncRNA from 1 species
AUGUUUUUAAUAGUGACGUCAAAGGAGUAUGAUUGGUUCGGGGUUUCGUCAAAAUAUGUAUGUCUUGCCCAGUAGUAGGUACGCUACAUAAAAUUGAAAAUUCUACCAAGCCCGACUACAUGAUGAUCUCACCUUGUAUUUCUAUUAACCUCGGGGUUAUCUAAUGUGUGAAUCCCGGAACAUUUCAGCUCAUCUGUUACGUUGUGAUUCUGUGGAAGAUCUGGAGGAAUUUUAUUCUUGAGCAUAGAUACAAACUACUCACGAGGUGUUGGAGUCUGAGUCUUUCGCACAUCCAUAAAUUUAAUUAUCCGUACUUAUUGAAAGAGGUCUAAAUCCUCACAUAGUCCUUUGUCCCAUUUAGAACCUAAGUUGGAUCGUAGUUUCUGGAAAUAUUUAGGGAUCCGGAUUUAUUAUAUAUUAUGCGAUUUCGAUACAUUUUUGGAAGAUUGAUUGAAUAGCAUGGACCUUGAGGCUUGAAAGGAUAAUUAUAAAAUCAUACCGGUGGUAUUUGAAGCUUAAAGAGCUCAUUAUAAAACCAGACGUUGGGGUAAUUGAAAUUUGAAGGACUCAUUGUAACACCAUCCACAUUCAAUCGGGCUUCCCUUAAGUAUGUUGAGUCGAUUUAUUUGAUAUUAUACGAUUUCGAUAUAUUUUCGGAGGAUUGAUUAGAAAACAUGUACCUUGAAGCUUAAAUGGUUCAUUGUAAAACCCAUACCGGGGGUAUUUGAAACUGAAAGGGCUCAUUAUAAAAGCAAACACAUUCAAUUAGGCUUUCUUGAGUAUAUUGGAGGAAUAAAUCAACGCAAUGGGCUCACUGUAACUAAACUCAUCCAAUCGAUCCUACUUCUUUGAGUAUAUUAGAAGAAAGGACUGUUAGUAUGGUAAUUCAAGCUUAAAGAGCUCCUUAUAAAACCAUAAGCGUGGACCUUGAUGGAUAAAAAAAUCAUUGGUACACCACACAUACUUAUUUAGACUUCUUUGAGCAUAUUAGAAGAAGGGAUUGUAGUGUGGUAUUGGAAACUUAAAGAGUUCAUUGUGUACCAAUAUUUUAAUAUAACUUAUUUAACGAGAUUUUGAAAACCAUUUAUCUAUUCUAUUCAAAUACCGCUAAUAAGAUAAAAAUAUUAAUAAUUAAAAUUAUUUUGUUUGAAAGCUGAAGUAAUAAUUCAAGCUUAUAGUUUUAUUUAUAUUUUAUAGAAAAAUAUUAAAAACAAAAAAAUGAAUGAAGAAAAUAAUUCAAUCCCGAGAUCUCUUGAAAGUUCUGAACUAUGAGAUAUAUUUCAAGAACAUAACUUCACCAAGUUAACCUCGGAGAAAGAAGCAUCCGUCAAAAAAGAGAUUAAAACGUUUGUUCUUGACGAGGUUGAAGGGUCACAAACUAUUAAAUAAAGGAAUCCAAGACGACCGAAAGAAAUAAGGAGAGAAAUAGAUGUGGAGGAAUAAGGCAUGGGUGUAAUCUAAUAGGAACACGUAUAUAUUCGUAUUAAUAGAUACUCAUUACUACUUUGACAAACAUACAAAAUGAACGCCGUUUUAUAAGAAUAAUAAUGAGGGUAGUUCUUUAUACAUAUAUUAAAUAAUAAACAUAAUUAAAAGAUGAGAAGAUAGAAAAGGAGUCACAAAUACAUAAAAAAAACUUUCCGUCCAUUAUAGACAAAAGAGAUAGAAAAAGAGAAUCCUCAAAUAGAUGGGUAGAAGAUAGAAAUAAAAGUUUUGAUUUGAAUCAAAUUUAAAAAAAAAUGAAUCAAGUAAAACAUUAUACCCCGAUAUCGGUUAAGGAUUCUGAGCCUUGGAAAUUAUUCCAAGAAUCUACUUCCAUUAAUUCAACCCCGGAGGAAGAAGCGACUAUCAAUAAAGAGCUCAAAAUUUAGUUUAAAAAGCCAUUUAUAUUAUAAAUUGUGUGAUUUGUGGAAUGCAUAAUCUCCACACAAGUAUGAAAUAUCCUCACAAUAACUACAAAACAAUUUAAGUAUGUUCGUUGAAGAAAAGGGAUUUAUUUUAAAUGUCUCAUUACAUAUGGACUAGGACAUUCCUGUAAAAGGAACUGCAAUCUCUGGCAUUGCCGUCAUGGUCCGAGGAUUAUACUAUUUUUAAUGUCUCCUAGAAACUAUACCUCUAAAAACGUUAAGGAUUAAUAUGAUUUAGAUAAAAAGAAUUCUAUGUAAAAUGAUCAGUAGAACGAAAAUAAAUAUAUAAAGUUAAAAAAUAA